rnacentral:rRNA from 1 species
AGAGGGUGCGAGCGUUAAUCGGAUUUACUGGGCGUAAAGCGUGCGUAGGCGGCUUCUUAAGUCGGAUGUGAAAUCCCUGAGCUUAACUUAGGAAUUGCAUUCGAUACUGGGAAGCUAGAGUAUGGGAGAGGAUGGUAGAAUUCCAGGUGUAGCGGUGAAAUGCGUAGAGAUCUGGAGGAAUACCGAUGGCGAAGGCAGCCAUCUGGCCUAAUACUGACGCUGAGGUACGAAAGCAUGGGGAGCAAACAGGAUUAGAUACCCUGGUAGUCCCAUGCCCGUAAACGAUGUCUACUAGCCCGUUGGGGGCCUUUGAGGCUUUAGUGGCGCAGCUAACGCGAUAAGUAGACCGCCUGGGGAGUACGGUCGCAAGACUA